UGUAAUGAUGAGUGAAUAUCCAAGCUUCAUGAUUCUGGCACGGAUGAUGUGAGAUGCAAGUUUCUUAAGGCCUCAGGCACCGCCUGCCCACAUUGCUCCAGAAUUCCCAUAAGUGGUCUAGCUAUCAGUGCAUCUUCUUUGGCCAAAAAGCUAUGGAAGUUGCCUUUGAUACUAUGCCUAGCCAUUCUCGUGAGGAUUUGAACAUAAUUAUCAAUUGAUGGCACGAAGUUGGGUAAGAUUACAGUUUCAUAGAAAGCUAAAUUGGUGGUAGAAAUGCACUCCACAUUGAUCACAGAGACCACUGGUUUCAUUCUGAUAUUCAUAUCCAGGCUGAAGAAAGCAAACAAAAAUGAGUUAAACGUGCCAGAGACUAUAAGUACUUUGUGCUGAGAGAGAAACUUAAAAGUAGAACCACGCAGGCACCGCCUGCCCACAUUGCUCCAGAAUUCCCAUAAGUGGUCUAGCUAUCAGUGCAUCUUCUUUGGUCAAAAAGCUAUGGAAGUUGCCUUUGAUACUAUGCCUAGCCAUUCUCGUGAGGAUUUGAACAUAAU
rnacentral:lncRNA from 1 species